rnacentral:lncRNA from 1 species
CACACACACACACACACACACACACACACACACACACACACACACACGGAGCGCUGGGAAGUCCACAUUUACUGUACUGCGUGCUGACUGCCUUGAAGAAACUGUAGCUAACCACCUUAUUAGUAUUCUUGCCUCCACUGUGUCUCACUUGCAGCAUCAGGGCGCUGAGCAAAAUGCAGUAGAGCAGGGACAGACACGGCUCUGGCAAUCAUCUCAAUGCAGGCUGCUGAGUGUUGGGGGUGGGGGCAUGCAGCGCAUCAAGAUUAAUAACCUUGCCAUAAUCCGGGGCACCGUGCAAGCAGACACCUCUGCUGAUUGACUCGCUCCUGGCUUGAUACAUCUGCCUUGGGGGAGAGGAAUCCGGAAUCUAGUUUCCAACCCCCAGCCCCCUGAUUUUGGAUGUUCUUUUGAUUCUCCACAGACCUGGGAAGGUAACCGCAAGCCAUACCAUCUGCAGCUCACAGCACCUCUUGGAGGUUACUACUGACAGUUUUCCUUACACAGGCUUCUGUGAGUGCUUAUGUGUUUGUGUGUGUUCCUGCGUGUGGGUGCCUGCUCCUUGUAAAAGAGAUUGUGUGAGUGUCCGUACUGUGUGUGUGGGCUUGUGAGACAACCAAAGGAUAGGUAUACCGUACAAGAGGAGAGCUCAACAGCGUGAUAAAAAUCUCCAGGCACUGGGGCUCACAAGCUGUAGUCCCCCUCCUCUCACCGCCCCUUCUCUGCCCUACUCCCCCGGCUCCUUUCGUCUUUGAUGAGUUUUUGGCUCACUUUUUGGCGGAGUCUCUUGGACAUGUUCUGCUGUUGCUGGAGGAUCAAAUAAAUGGAACCUUUGAAAGUUGAUUAUUUUUCUCUUAUGUGACAAACAUACACACAGAGAGAGCGCGAAGAGGAAAGGAAAUUAGAGUGGUGUAUGACCAGCUAGAGGAUUUAAAAUUUUCCUUGGUGAACUUUGAGGAGCCACUGAGAAGACCAUUUCAGAGAGGACACGUUUAUCAACAAAGCAUGAAGACUUCUCUUUCAUUUUAAAAAAACCAAAUGAAGUGUUUACUGUCAUUAUCUCUAUUUGAUGAAGAGGAUACUGAGGCUCAAAGAGACUUAAUAACUCGUCCAAGAUCAUCUAAUGCUGAGUAAUCAAGAGUGAGUGCCAUGAAGGAGCAAAAACCCGCCUGGACCAGCAUAGUUUUGAGAGGAUAAACCACAGAGCAGCAGGUGAGCAGAUUUCUCAAUUCUAAUUGAACUGGACUAAACAUCAGAUGAAGAAAGAUACAAGAACUAAGCCAUGGGCUUAUCUCACUGAGAUGAUCACUGGCCUGAAAAAAAUCAGUGGCCCAAUCUGAUAAUUUAAAGUUGCAUUUCUGAGAGGUAAGCUAAUGGGUUGACUUAGAAUUUAUAACUAGCGCCUUAAUGUGAUAAGAGAUUCAUGUUCUCAUCUUGUGUUCUCAGUGGUGUUGUGUCAGAAAUUGCUGGUCUUGAGGUUGUUCAGUCCCACGAACACCUCAGAAUGCCUGACUUAAACACUCAGCUCUGUAGACAGCUUCUACAAGCCACUGAUACUGAGUUUCCAAAUAAUUUGGGUCUCUGGUGCAUGAUAACUGUUUUUCAGGAAAGCAAGUCUGCUGAGUUUCCAAUCCCACAAAUAACUCAGCCUGUCACUUAAAAUAAUCGGUGAUAGGACUAUCCUAGAAGGAUUUUGUGGUUUGAAACCCUUAGUCGCAUGCUAUUUACAUUAUGAACUUGUUAUGAAGCGGUGUGCUCAUGUCAGUAGCAUCCCAGCAAUACGUUGCUUUCCUCUUGUAUACGUUUGUUUUUGGUUCAUAGUUGACCAUUUUCAAAACUUAGGUACCAUUCUCUCAUCUUCCAUCUUCUCUCACUCCUGUGGCACUCUGUGCUCCAGUAUGAGGUAAAAUUUAACUUGGUUGUGGAAAUUAUGUCAGUGUGUUGUUGGCCAGAAGAUUGAUGGGUUAAUUUAAUUCUCUGGAUUGAUAAUGAGAAGUGGGGACCGGGUAAGUCUAGAGUGACACAAGAGAAAUGAAUUGAAAUGUAGAGUUUUCGACUUCUCUUGUGUAUAUCAGCGCCUUCGGGGAACGCUGUGCCAGAUGGAUUGAAAUGCUGGUGGUAUGGUUUUUAUCUUGAACUCUAUUUGUAAAUAACAAUACCAUAAUAUAAUAAAUUUUUGUCCAAACAUCUCAAUUUAAAUUAACAUACUCAUAAACUUUAUAAAUAUAAAAUGUCUCAAACUAAUAGAUAUCAUUUAUAAUUUAAAAAUAGGACUAUCUUUGCAAGUCAAUAGGUAGCCCUGUGUCACAGAUGUGAUAAUUUUUUUACCCCACUGGACACAAUUAGCUACUUAUUUAAAGAAUAGCAGUUUUUACAAGGCAGCUAUGCGCAAAAACAGGACAUGAUUCUUCUAUUGUGAAGAUUAUUAGAUUCUUUGAAUUUUGAUAAGAUAGCAUUUUGAUUAGUAUGUUUAUUUAUACCAUACUGUUUAUGUUUGAAAUUAGAUAAGUAUAAUAUGAAGAAGGUGAUUAUCAUUUGUGUUUUGUCUCACAAAAUUUUAUGGUUCUUGGGAAGAAUGGGCAAUCCAUCUGAAAAAAAAUGUGGUUUAUAACUUUCUGAUUCUAUCUUAUACUGCAAAUGUUAUUAAAUAUAUAGACAGGCACAUGUGUAUGUGGGGAGACUAGUGCGCAUUUGAGAAACAUGAUAUGUUUUACAAAGAACCGACUGUGUUGCCUAUAUAACCAGAGAGAGCAAGGGAAAGGAGAGUCAGAAGCAGAAGCAGAGGGAGAGGUGGGGCAGGAAGAGGGAGUGAGAUAAUUUGUGAAAAGCAGAGAAAUUCCUUCUUAUAGAUUUAUGUUGCAGGCUAUAUUUUAACAUAAGAUCAUGGACACUUAUUUGCUACUUGGAUGCCCUUGUAAAAUUACUUCAUCUCCUGCAUGGUUUCCAUUGUUGUCAGAAGGACAACAAUAACAGCACUGACCUCAUAAGUUUAUUAUCAAAAUCAGUAAAGCUGUGCAUAUGAAGAAUGAAGAAUUGUGCCUAGCACAAGGAAAGCACUCAGCAAACAUUUUCACAGUUGUCCUUAUUUCAUAAUGCAUGAAGUUUCCCAUUACUCAGGAAACGUAAGCCAGUCAGAAAUGGUAUUAACCUUGAUUUGGGUUUCAAUAUUGGUUGAUUCUAAAGGAAGCCUUUACAACUCUCUAGUUGUCUCUUAAUGGAUAUCGAGGUUGAAUCAGACUAUGUAUUUAGAGCCCCCUGUGGUGCCUUUUCUGUGUUAUUGAAACUGGAUUGCAGAGCACUCUCUCCAGUCUUCCUUGAUACGACUACAAUUUCUGAAUACAUUUUGAUUCUUUAGUGAAGUUCUUAAAUCUCAAACAAGCUAGUGCUUGGCAAGAGGAGCAGAUAUGAGAGGAUCAUCGAACUGCACAUCUGAGACCCGAGCUGGCUUAGUAUCUGAAAGCACAAUGAGCAGAAUUAAGUAAACAAUUCCUUUCACUCUCAUAAACAACUAACAGAAAAAUCCUUACUUUUAAAUGGCAGGCAGAAGGUUAACCCACAGUGUGUAAGCAUUUUUUCUAUUGAAAAAAAAAAAAGAAAGAAAGAAUACCAGAGCAAGUAAGUAGAAAUUUCUUUAGGCUGCGGGAGGUUCAAAAGCCUUAAGCACCUUUAUGUAGAAGAACCUAUACACAUCUCACUGCAUUUCAAGGAGGUUCAGAUACUGAUGGAGUGUUAUUUGAAAGCCACCUUUCUAUUUUGGCUUCUGCCAACUUGCUCUGGUGUGCUUUUUUCUUGCUGGCCCUUUUCCAUUUGACUUUCUUACUGAUGCCCCAUUCUUUGACUUUCUUUAGAUAAUGGGAGAAUACUGACUGUGCAGAUGCCAAGGGUGAAAGGGCUUUUUUUCCUCACUGAGCUGCUUUUUCAUUCCAAGGGGGAGUUUGCAAUCUUUUGGUAAAUACUUAAUAUACAUACAUUACUGUCAUAUAGAUGUGAAAAUAAAAAAAAUUCUGCUUAAUAAAUGAAUCAUCUCGGGGUUGGGGAUUUAGCUCAGUGGUAGAGCGCUUGCCUAGCGAGCGCAAGGCCCUGGGUUCGGUCCCCAGCUCCGAAAAAAAAAAAAAAAAAGAAAAAAAUAAAUGAAUCAUCUCACUUGUUUCAGAAUAAAACCAAAACCAAAAUGCUGAGCCAAAUUAUUAGUUAUGCUUUUAUGUUUUGAGAUGUUUUUUUAGUCCUAAUAAAAUGUGAAAGUAAUAGAGAAACCCCAAUGUUUUUCAAGUAAAAAAUUAAAAGCAUAUCCUUUUAAAUUAAAGAAAUGUAAACUUAAUUUAGGUAAUAUAAAGCCCAUUUAUAUAUCACAUGGAAGUUAAUAAAUCUCAAAUUAAAACUGGUACAUUAAAUCAGACCAUUGCCAGACUGAACAGACAUCCCAAAACCAUGGUAUGCAGAGGGUGAGUUUAUGAAUGCUAAAAUCCCAGAUCCUUUCUGUGUCCAGCAUACAUCCUUGUAAGCCAAGAAGAGUUAGAACCCUAACAUAUACUCCCUUUCUUCACGUGUAUGACUAAGUAACAUGAAGUUUAUUACUUUUAGUGUAUUCCUAAGUAAAGUAAAUGUUGAAAGCUUAUUAAUUCUUCAGUGGAUGAUUUAAAUACUUCCAAUAUGUGCUUUGUAAUAUCCAACGUGGGUAAUAACUGAACUCACAUUUGUUUUCGGUCCUUCUAGAAGCCAUACGCACUUAAGGAAGAGAGUCACUCAAAUAUAUAAGUACAUGCUCCAUGUUUUUUGUGUAGACCUAUGAAAGCACAGAAAAGGGUAAACCCUUGUUAAUUUGGAAAAAGACACAGAAUAAGACUGUAUAUUACCAAAGGAUAGACUUUGUUAGCUCAAUUUUGUAUGAUAAGUGGAUUUUAACAGGAAUAUAAUAUAUUUUAAUAUCAAUUGUCUACGAUAAUGGUAUUCAUAGUUACCCACUACCUUACCCAGUUUAAGAAACAAAAUUUAUUUACUUACUUUUAUUUACUUUUUUAUUUACUUUGCUUUCUCCUCUUUUUUUGUCAUUAAGAUGAUUCUCAGUCUUAGGAAGAAAC